GAUGAAGAACGUAGCGAAAUGCGAUAAGUAGUGUGAAUUGCAGAAUUCAGUGAAUCAUCGAAUCUUUGAACGCACAUUGCGCCCCCUGGUAUUCCGGGGGGCAUGCCUGUCCGAGCGUCAUUACAACCCUCAAGCUCAGCUUGGUGUUGGGCCCCGCCGCCCCGGCGGGCCCUAAAGUCAGUGGCGGUGCCGUCCGGCUCCGAGCGUAGUAAUUCUUCUCGCUCUGGAGGUCCGGUCGUGUGCUCGCCAGCAACCCCCAAUUUUUUUCAGGUUGACCUCGGAUCAGGUAGGGAUACCCGCUGAACUUAAGCAUAUCAUAAGCGGAGGA
rnacentral:misc_RNA from 1 species